UUGUGUCUCUGAUUGCAUAUAACUUCAAAAUGCAGCCAAAUUAUGUUUGAAUUCAACUUGGAUUUAUUGAGACUUUCCUUAAAUACUUGUUAGCUUUCCUGCUGAUCUUUCUCAUUUGUUUCAUACAAAUAUAUGCAUACUGAAUAUUCAUUAACGCGCAGAAUUUGGAUGAAAGCUUUCUGAAUCUUCUAUCGGUUUAGUUCAUUUAAAUUCCAACGUAAGUACCUUUUGAAAUGUUGGAAAUGGCUGCAUGCACACUUGUAAGCAUAAAGCCUCUGGAAAAAUGGCGAAUGUUUAAUAUUUCAUUAUAAUGGACUCAAGAACAGCAUAUUUUGAUUUAAUGCUGGGUCCUGUACCUUGCAUGCGCACUCAUCUAAAAUGAUGCCCGAGCUAAUGUCUGUCUGAUAUUUCCUUUAUCUUUCCAAGCCAUGUUGAUAAACUUUGUUUGAAGCUUUAGAAUUCUAUAAUGGAUGCCAGUGCAAGUCUGUCUGUGAUGUACAAGGUUGAUACUCGAAUCCCAAUUGUUGCACAUAAUGCUAUUUCCAUUCAUUGGCUAUAAUUUUUAGUCCUACUUCCAAGACGAUUGUGUUAAUUCAUCAAGCUACUUCGCAAAUUGAAAGACAAACAAGAAUAAUGCAAGCCAAGGUAUGCAGAAAAUCUAGAGCUUGUUCAACUUGGCAUCGCAUAUUUUUUAAGAAUAUCUUGAUUCUCAAGGGCAAAAUGAAGAAUGAGUUUAUCUUCAGGAAAUUUAAUUUUAAAAUCAAUAGAUAUUUCUGUGCUCAAUCCCAGAUGGAAUGCAAAACUGUCGACAAUAAUUCUAUCCUGACAUUCAAAUUGAUCUACAAAUUGCAAGACAUCAAAAGAUAACUGCAGGCCACAGAUAUCCAUAAGACAGCUUGAAGAAUUUGGAUGUUCAGCUUCUCAUCACAUCUUUUAAACGUCUAGAUUCUCAAGAGCAAACCGAAGAAUGAAAUUUCCGUGAAGCAACUCGAUUCUGAAACCUAUAGGUUGGUAAAUUAUUCUUGACAGUUACCAGAACCUUGAAGUUGAAGUAAUUCUGCAGAACUAUCCUUUGUAGAUCUUUAUUGUAUUUAUCUUGCAAAAAUUGUGUUCGAAAUUUUACAUGAAAUAACUAUAUUAACACUAUAAGGUAAUGCUGGUUUUUGUUAUAGGGUACAUAAUUGCCUUUAUCCUGAAUUCAAAAUGCACUUCUAUUUAUCAUUCAUCAUCGAUUUGAAGUUUUUCAAAACUUAGUUUUAUUUUCAUCAAUUGCAGAACAGACCUGCUGUGUUCGUAUCUUUUGAUAUCGCUUAUGCUUGUUUAAAUUGCCCCACAAAUUGUAAAUAUCAAACAUAACUUGAAGGUUUGACUCAAUUUUAUUAUCAGAUUUGCUUACCAGAUUCAACCAUUGCCUAUAUAGUCUUCAGUUAAUAAGACAAAUCCCAUAAAAAAAACUUAAACCAUAAUUAACGAAAUAGCAUUAUCAAUCGUAGAAGAUUCCUAAAUUUCAGAGCUUUAAUUGGUAAUCCAUAAGCAUAUUUCUUUUAUCGUACACAUGGAUCAAUUAACUUCACCCGAGAGGUUUGAGUAGUUAUUAUAAUGCAUUGAUUACUGAAUCUUAAUAUUGGAUUUUCUGCAAACUUUGUGUGGUCAACUUUGCGAUUAAUAUAAUAAAAGAAACUAUUUUUCAAAGAUUUAAUUUCAAAUGAAAUUAGUAUUCAAUUAAAAUCCUAUGGUACAUCAUGUUAAAUUUUAUAAAUGUUAAUCUUAAUUGACAAAUUAAUUGAUCUAGAAAUUGACAUUUUUACUAUUUCGCCUCUUUAGCUUUUUCUCGUGUUCUACAUUCCUCGGUUUUCUUUCGACUUUGUUUGAGAAGCUAUUGUAAUUUGUGAAUCGCCUUUUACGAAUGUGUAGAUUUUAAGCAAAAAUCCAUGAAACAUUUCAUGGCUUUAAAAUACGAAUUUCAAUUCGUUUUUGUGAUGGUAGUCAUAAACUUUUCUAUAUAUCCAAAUACAUGUAGAAAAUAUAAUACUUCGCAAAAAUUUAA